GCGGAGGAAAAGAAAAUAACAAUGAUUUCCCUAGUAACGGCGAGUGAAGAGGAAAGAGCUCAAAGUUGGAAACUGUUUGGCUUAGCUAAACCGUAUUGUAAACUGUAGAAACAUUUUCCUGGCACGCCGGAUUAAUAAGUCCUUUGGAACAAGGCAUCAUGGAGGGUGAGAAUCCCGUCUUUGAUCCGAGUAGUUGUCUUUUGUGAUAUGUUUUCAAAGAGUCAGGUUGUUUGGGAAUGCAGCCUAAAUUGGGUGGUAAAUCUCACCUAAAGCUAAAUAUUUGCGAGAGACCGAUAGCGAACAAGUACCGUGAGGGAAAGAUGAAAAGAACUUUGAAAAGAGAGUUAAACAGUAUGUGAAAUUGUUAAAAGGGAACCGUUUGGAGCCAGACUGGUUUGACUGUAAUCAACCUAGAAUUCGUUCUGGGUGCACUUGCAGUCUAUACCUGCCAACAACAGUUUGAUUUGGAGGAAAAAAUUAGUAGGAAUGUAGCCUCUCGAGGUGUUAUAGCCUACUAUCAUACUCUGGAUUGGACUGAGGAACGCAGCGAAUGCCUUUAGGCAAGAUUGCUGGGUGCUUUCGCUAAUAAAUGUUAGAAUUUCUGCUUCGGGUGGUGCUAAUGUUUAAAGGAGGAACACAUCUAGUAUAUUUUUUAUUCGCUUAGGUUGUUGGCUUAAUGACUCUAAAUGAC
rnacentral:rRNA from 1 species